UUAUAACUUAAGUAUAAUGUAUAUUUCAUUUACAAUGACAAGGUCUAUUUUUAAUAGAAGUUAUAUAAAAAAUAAUUAAGUUUGGUUUAAAUACUAUCAUUUUUAUUUAUGAUAAUCUAUUAUUAUAAUAGUA
rnacentral:tRNA from 1 species